UACGUAGGUGGCAAGCGUUGUCCGGAUUUACUGGGCGUAAAGAGCGCGCAGGCGGUCGUUCAAGUCGCGUGUGAAAGCCCCCGGCUCAACUGGGGAGGGUCACGCGAUACUGAUCGACUCGAAGGCAGGAGAGGGUAGUGGAAUUCCCGGUGUGGUGGUGAAAUGCGUAGAUAUCUGGAGGAACACCGGUGGCGAAGGCGGCAUCCUGGACCAACACUGACGCUGAUGAGCGAAAGCCAGGGGAGCAAACGGG
rnacentral:rRNA from 1 species